CGAGGUCCUGUGGUGGAUUCCCUCACAGGCUCAGAAAUGGGCAGAGCUGGGAAUGAAUUAACCAUGAAUUAACCUCCCCACAUCUGAGCUGAGCCCUCUUCACUAUGCUGCAGCCAUGCCUCAAGGAUGUGUCUGUCCUCCACUCACCUCGUUGCCUCCUGACAGGCUCCAGACACUUCUUGAAGUGGUACCUCCAGCUCAGGCUGACCUUCAAAGUAUCCUGCACAUCCUUCCUGCUGUCAUCUUUACUUCUUCUGAGAAAGCCUUCCUUGCCAGAUCCAUGAAUCCAUCAUCAGGAAAUCAAUCAGAGAGAAGAUGCCACUAAGAGGAGUGGAUUUUGUUUCAAGAUCUGCUGCUGUUAAUGCGAAUAAACCACAUGUUUAUGACCAAUAAUCUCUGCUUACACUGAAUAAUGCAAUUUUGUGUAGAGCCCUCAUCACAAAUUCUGGAUAACUACGUGGAGCAGUGAGACUGAGCUGGCAUGAUCCUUCCUCACAAAAAUACUGCAGGGCUGAGCUGCUAAUGCAAGUAUAUUCUUAGAAUUACAGAAUAAUAGGAUCACAGACUGAGUUGGGUUGGGAGGGGCUUUAAAAAUCAACCAGUUUCAAUCCCCUGAUAUAGUCAGGGGCACCUUCCAC